rnacentral:lncRNA from 1 species
UACAAAUACAUGUGUCUUCUUGGUAGAACAAUUUAUAUGCCUUCAGCGGAGGCGCAGCGGCCCUGGCCAACUUUGUACAAAGGAACCCGACACAGUGGAGGCUCUGGACCUGGAAGUGGGUCCUGCCCGGCCAUGCAAAGACUCAAACUGAAGCAUUGCUCUUCCUGGAUCUCCAGCCUGCCAGCCUUUUGACUAGAGCUAAACCAUCAGCUCUACUGGGUCUCCAGUUUUCCAGGUCACCCUACAUAUCCUGGAAUAUGCCUGCAUACCUGCCUCUAAAAUAAUGUCAUAUAUGUAUGUGUUCAAAGGCAGUCAGACAGGAAGAAUUCCUCUUUACUUCCAGGAGAGUCACCCUUUUGGUUCUAUUCAGGCCUUCAACUGAUUGCGUGAGUCCCAUUCACAUUAGGGAAGGCAAUCUGCUGUACUCAAUCUGCCAAUUUAAAUUUUAAUCUCAUCUGAAAACACCCUCACAGACACACACACACACACACAGACACACACACACACACACAAAGUAAUUUUUCAUCAGACAUCUGGGUUUCCUGUGGCCCCAUCAAUUGGACACAUAAAAUUGGCAUCACAAAGAGCUACUUAUUAUUUAUUUUUUCCACUAUUUCCACUGAACUUUGUAAGUAAAACCAUAGCCUUGCUUUUAAUAAUGUUUUUUCAUUUUACAUCAACUUUAUUUAUUUUACAAUUUAUAGAUUCCUUCAUAAUCGAUGUUCCAUUUAUUUCUUAAGAUCUGUUAAUUUAAUAACAUAUAACAUGUUUACUAUUGUAUAGAUAGAAUUUGAACUAAUUGCAGCAUAAAUUGCAUAAUAUCUUAGAUGAAAUCGCAUUGCUUCUAGUAAAAUAACUUUAAAGAUUGCCAAUCAGAGGUUCUUAAUUGAUUAAGUAUAAUAGUUUCUGGUAAAUAUUUUGUAAGUAAUUUGUGGACCCACAAACAAAAAUCAAUAAUUUAACAGCUAGCUGGAGCUUAAACUAGUUUACCUAAUGUUAAUUUGUAUAGAAAGAGGUAUGCUUUUGACUAGGAAAAACAUGUUAGUAUAACAGCCUUGUAUCUCAAAGCCAACUCCUCCACCAUCACUACCCCCAUCUACACACACACACACAAAAUCUAGGAGGGAGAAAUUUGGGCAAAUAUUUUUUCAUUUUAUAUUGUAAGAUGUGUAUUACGUAACAUAUUUUUAUAUGUUAUCAUUCAUGGGUUUUACAGAAAAAUGCUGUGUCAUUUUGUUUUUCCAGUAAAAGUCAUUAUUCAACAAUACGUUUGUCCUGAAACAUGUAGCAUCUUAUGCUACAAAUAGAGUGAAA